UAAGUGGAAGUGGAUCAUCAUAAAGGUCUUCAUUCUCAUCUUCACGUUGAGUAGGCUGAGGGAGGUCAGGAAGAGGAGGCGGAAGAGGAGGGAGGACAGACAGGUACUCCUGAAGUAAUUUUACAGAAAUAUAUUUUAAUCCUGAGUUUUUACUUUUCCAUUUCUCUAAAAUUGUUUCUAUACAGUACCAACUCUUCUUUUACCAUUUGCUUUAGUUUCAGUGCCCGUGUCAUAGAGGAUUCCAUGUCAUAAAAGAAUUCAAAUCAGUCUUGAAUAAUUGGAGCCUUUCUAUCAGAUUCUCUCAUGUCAAUUUGUUUUCCUGCACUGCUUCCUCUAUGUCUUCUUCCUGGUUGUCUGGCACUGGUUUGAAAGCAUUUAUCUCUAUCAGGAUUUUCUUCCACAGUGUUGACAAUCCUCUCCAUAGAGUACCAUGUGUAAUAAACCUUAAAGGUCCUUAUGGCCCCCAUCUAGAGGCUGAAUUAGAGACAGUUUCAGGUUCACCAACAUACAAGAAACAAAGAAGCAUGAGACAGACUCUCAGACCCUUGUAUCUUUUCUAUAUAAAAAGAACUGAAAUGCAGUAUGUACUCCACUUGGGAUUUCCCAAGUUCACAUAAUUAAAUGAUUGAAAAAAUUAGUAUUAUUUUAUGUUUAAAGAAUACAA